GACUGAAAGCUGGCUGGAUGAAUGGCCAAAGUUGAUGUCAUUUUGAUGUUGUGGUUAACACAGCUAUAUGGUUUACAGCAGAUGUGGUGUUCAAAUACCACAGAGUGCAAGUCAUACGGCUCCUCUUUUGGUGCUUCAAUAGAACCUCCCUCCUCUAUGAACCGCAUACAGUAAUUGUUUGGCUGAGGACUGGCAAGCCAGGAGGUCUGCACCAGGCUCCAAUCUGAUCUACCAAGGUUUCUACAGCUGGAUGCCAUUCCUAACGCCAACCACUCAGAGAGUGUAGUGGGUGCUUUUUACGUGCCACCAGCACUAGCAAGGUUUUGUUGGAGAGUUCCUGAAGUCUUACAUGUGUAGCAGGCUUGCUACCUGCAGCCUACAGUACAAUUAUUAUUAUUGCCGGGCGAAAUGCUUAGCGGUAUUUCGUCUGCUGUUACAUUCUGAGUUCAAAUUCCGCCAAGGUCGACUUUGCCUUUCAUCCUUUCGGGGUCGAUUAAAUAAGUACCAGUUAAUCACUAGGGGUCGAUGUAAUCGACCUAAUCCUCCACCCUUGUCUGUCCUUGUUUGUCCCCUCUAUGUUUAGCCCCCUGUGGGCAAUAAAGAAAUAAAUUAUUAUUAUUAUUAUUAUUAUUAUUAUUAUUAUCAUUUCUAUUAUCAUUAUGACAUAAUCAAUCAUUCAAAGUUGACUAGUAUUUCCUAACAACAAAAUCCAAAUAGCUUUAGUAGUAUUAGAAACAAGAAAAUCCAUCCCAGUAAUCCAGCUUCUUUAUCAACACAGCCACUUAGAAUAGAACUAAAAUCAUUCAUUUUCUGAUGCAUUUUAGCCACAGGAGAGUUUAUAACAUCAUACUGAGAGAUAUUUUUUAAAGUCCCCCACUCUAACUCCAAGAAAAAAAAACUCCACCCUCAAUUUCUAAAGAAGCUUCAAAAUAUCUCUCAACAUUUUAUCAUUAAGAAAGGCCCCAAUUCCGAGAGGAAAUUUUCCAACCUUCCUUAAAUCCAGACAUGUAAUAUAAGUUACCAUUGAUAUGUAAUAUAUACAGUGCAACAUUUCAUUCAGAAGCUAUGUCUUAUCUUUAGAAUAUCUUGGGAGUCGGGUUGUAAUAUAAGCCACUGGUAAUAAAAUAUCCCCACCCAACAUUAAUUUAGCUUUAAAUAUAAAUCAGAAGAAAAGGGUAGCUAAGGAAUGAAUAUUUAGAUUUUGUUACUAUUUCUAAACUGAUGUUACUGUACCGGAUUGCAGAGGGAGACUUUCAGUAACCAAACUUGUAUAAUUUAAUUUGGUUCCUGCUGGACCUAUUCCACAUCAUUUACAUCUCUCAUAUCCUUCAGAUCAAGCAAGCAGACAUAUUAUAACUAUCCAUUUCUGCUCCAUUAAAAAUUCUUAAUGUAUUAAAGUUUCCAUAUCUGUGUAAUAAAUAUCA